AGGGUAGUGGCGAAAUGGAAAACGCGUACGACUUAGGAUCGUUUGAGCUCAAGCUUUUGUCUGUUCAACCCAGACCUACCUUA
rnacentral:tRNA from 1 species